AAGCAGGAGGUGUCAGAAAAGUUACCACAGGGAUAACUGGCUUGUGCCGCCAAGCGUUCAUAGCGACGUCGCUUUUGAUCCUUCGA
rnacentral:miRNA from 1 species